rnacentral:rRNA from 1 species
GCCAGACUCCUACGGGAGGCAGCAGUGGGGAACAUUGCACAAUGGGGGAAACCCUGAUGCAGCAACGCCGCGUGAGUGAAGAAGUAUUUCGGUAUGUAAAGCUCUAUCAGCAGGGAAGAAGAUGACGGUACCUGAAUAAGAAGCCCCGGCUAACUACGUGCCAGCAGCCGCGGUAAUACGUAGGGGGCAAGCGUUAUCCGGAUUUACUGGGCGUAAAGGGAGCGCAGACGGCAGUGCAAGUCUGGAGUGAAAGCCCGGGGCCCAACCCCGGAACUGCUCUGGAAACUGUGCGGCUAGAGUACUGGAGGGGCAGGCGGAAUUCCUAGUGUAGCGGUGAAAUGCGUAGAUAUUAGGAGGAACACCAGUGGCGAAGGCGGCCUGCUGGACAGUAACUGACGUUGAGGCUCGAAAGCGUGGGGAGCAAACAGGAUUAGAUACCCCUGUAA